UACGUAGGUGGCGAACGUUAUCCGGAAUUAUUGGGCGUAAAGGGUGCGUAGACGGUCAGAUAAGUUAUCGGUGGUAAAUCGAGGCUCAACCUCGUGGAAGUUGGUAAUACUGUUUGACUGAGAGGGCAGAAGAAGUUAACGGAAAUCCCUGUGGAGCGGUGAAAUGCAUAGAUAUAGGGAAGAACACCAAAUGGCGAAGGCAGUUAACUAUUCUGUUCCUGACGUUGAGGCACGAAAGCGUGGGGAGCAAAGCGG
rnacentral:rRNA from 1 species